rnacentral:lncRNA from 1 species
CUACUACUGUGCUACAAGUGGAGCCAUAUAGGGGAAACGAGCAGCCAUCUCAGGAGCAAGGUGUAUGCUGCCUUUGGGGGCUCCAGUCCUUGCCUCAAGGGUCUUAUGUCACUGUGGGCUUCUUGGUUGCCAAGAGGCAGACCAUAGGCCGUCUUGAGAAGGACUUUAUGUUCAAGUGCAGAAAGCAGCCAGGAUUACCACCCUCGGGACUCUGCCUUCUGUGGCCCUGGCCAAACUUAGAAUUUGGCCGUAGACAGGACAAGCUCACUUGGAGUAGCGUGUCUGUAGCUGGGGUCUGUGCAUGCCAGGCAAGGCCAAGCUGGCUCAAAGAGCAACCAGCCACCUCUGCAAGGGUGCACCUAGAGCAGGUGGAGCAGCCACCAGCUCACCCACUCCAGGAAGCCGGGGUAGCCAGGUUCCCAAAGCCUGAGUGGGUGCCACCUAAUGGCUGAAGAAACAGAGGCCUUAGGAAAACCAGAUGGCACUGUGGCCCUACCUUUAUGGUAGAAGAGCUGAUUUAGCCUGACUGGCAGCGUGUGAGGUUGAUGGCUGGUCUGCCUGCUGCUGGCACAUCCGUGCAAAGAUAGCUGGUUGCCCUUUGAGCCAGCUUGCCCUUGCCCAGCAUGCACAAGCCUCAGUGCAACAACUGUGCUGCAAAUGGGGCCAUAUAGAGGAAAGGAGCAGCUGGCUCUGGAACAUGGUGUGCACUCCCUUUGGGCCUUCAGUCCAUGUCUCAUGGGUCGUAUGACACUGCGGGCUUGUUGGUUGCCAAGAGGCAGACCACAGGUCAUCUUGAGGAGGACUUUAUGUUCCAGUCCAGAAAGCAGCCAGUGGUACCACCCAGGGGACUUGUGCUUCUGUGGCCCAGGCCAGACGUAGAAUUUGACAAAGUCAGGACGGUCUCAGUCAGAGCAGCAUGUCGGUCCCCGGGGCCUGUGCAUGCCAGGCAAGGCCAAGCUGGCUUAAAGAGCAAGCAGCCACCUCUGUUAAGGGUGUGCCUGGAGCAGGUGGAGCAGCCACCAACCUCACCCACUGAAAGAAGCAGGGAUGGCCAGGUUCCAACAUCCUGGGUGGCUGCCAGCUGAUGGAGCAGAGGCCUGAGGAAAAGCAGAUGGCACUGCUUUGUGGUGCUCUUCUUUGUCUCUCUUGAUCUUUUUCAGUUAAUGUCUGUUUUAUCAGAGACUAGGAUUGCAAACCCUGCUCUUUUUUGCUUUCCAUUUGCUUGGUAAAUAUUCCUCCAUCCCUUUAUUUUAAGCCUAUGUGUGUCUUUGCACAUGAGAUGGGUCUCCUGAAUACAGGACAACAAUGGGUCUUUACUCUUUAUCCAACUUGCCAGUCUGUGUCUUUUAACUGGGGCAUUUAGCCCAUUUACAUUUAAGUUUAGUAUUGCUACAGGUGAAAUUUAUCCUGUCAUGAUGUUGCUAGCUUUUUAUUUUUCCCAUUAGUUUGCAGUUUCUUUAUAGUGUCAAUGGUCUUUACAAUUCGAUAUGUUUUUGUAGUGGCUGGUACUGGUUUUUCCUUUCUACGUUUAGUGUCUCCUUCAGGAGCUCUUGUAACACAAGAAUGUGGAUUUAUUUCUUGUAAGGUAAAUAUGUGGAUUUAUUUCUUGGGACUGUAUUCUAUGGCCUUUACCCCAAGAAUCAUUACUUUUUAAAAUGCAAUUCAAAUUAGCAUAAAACAUUUACAGCCUAUGGAAAGGCUUGUGGCAUUAGAAUCCUUAUUUAUAGGAUUAUUUUGUGUUUUUUUGAGAUAUGGUCUUUGUCAUCGAGGCAGAAGUGCCGUGGUUUGAUCAUAAUUCACCACAGCCCUGAACUCUUGAGUGCAAGCCAUCCUUUUGCCUUAAUCUCCCAACCAGUUGGAUCUACAAGCAUAAGGCAUCAUGCGUGGCUAAUUUUUUCACGUUUUUUUUUUUUUUUUUUUUUUUUUGUCGAGAUUAUGGUAUCACUAUGUUGCUCUGGCUGAUCUCAAAUGUUUGACCUCAAGGGAUCUUUCUGCCACAGCCUCCUUAAGUGCUAGGAUUAUAUGCAUGAUACACCAUGCCUAUUGUAGAGUAUUACAUUAUUUUCAAAGUCUUAUUGUAAGAGCCAUUUAUUGCCUUUGGCCUAAAUAACUCAAUAUAAUAUCUCUGAAACUUUUUUUUGACAAAUUUUGGGGCAUGAUGAUGAGAGAAGGGGGUUUGAAACUUUCUAAUAAGAGUUAACUUAGAGCCAUUUAAGAAAGGAAAAAACACAAAUUAUCAGAAAAACAAAAGUAAGAUCAAGUGCAAAAGUUCUGUGGCAAAGAUGAUGAGAGUAAAGAAUAUAUGUUUGUGACUCAUGGUGGCUUUUACUUUGUUCUUGCAUUUCUGAGUACGGGUUAACAUUUAAAGAAUCUACAUUAUAGAUAACAUUUUAUUGCAAGUAAAUGUAUUUCAAAAUUUGUUAUUGGUUUUGUAUGAGAUUAUUCUCAGCCUACUUCAUUAUCAAGCUAUAUUAUUUUAUUAAUGUAGUUCGAUGAUCUUACAGCAAAGCUGAAAGCUGUAUCUUCAAAAUAUGUCUAUUUGACUAAAAAGAAGUUAUUCAACAGGAGUUAUUAUCUAUGAAAAAAAUACAACAGGAAUAUAAAAAACUUGAAGAGGAUAAGAAGAUGUUGGAAAAAGUAAUAUUAAAUCUUAAAAAACAUAUGGAAAGUACACAUUGGUGAAGACACAUUGGUGAAGUACAAAAAUAUAAAUUGGAUCUAGAAGAAAGGGCAAUUCAGGCAAUAGAAAAAUUAGUAGAAAUCCCUUUAAAGGUUAGUUUGUAAAAUCAGGUAAGUUUAUUUAUAAUUUGCUUUCAUUUAUUUCACUGCAAAUUAUAUUUUGGAUAUAUAUAUAUAUUGUGCUUCCUCUGCCUGUCUUACAGCAAUUUGCCUUGCAGAGUUCUAGGAAAAAGGUGGCAUGUGUUUUUACUUUCAAAUAUUUAAAUUUCCAUCAUUCUAACAAAAUCAAUUUUUCAGAGUAAUGAUUCUCACUGUGGAGUCAUUUGAUUAUUAAGACCCGUUGGCAUAAGAUUACAUCCUCUGACUAUAAAAAUCCUGGAAGAAAACCUAGGAAAUAUUCGUCUGGACUUUGCACUUGGCAAUGAAUUUAUGGCUACUUUGAAACAUAUGGUACAUUUGUGUUAAGGCUAGUCACCCUGCUGUGGAAUAGAAGGCCAGAAUUGAUCAGUCUCAUCUGAGAGUAACUUUGUACCCAUCACUGAUUCCUUCUGAGACUGCCUCCACUUCCCCAGCAGCCUCUGGUUUCUUCAUGUGGCUGCAGAUGGCAGGAUUUCCCAAAGGUUUCUGGCUGAAACAUAUUCCGUGGUGUAUCUGUACAGCAGUUUCCUCAUCCCUGCAGCUGUGUUUGAACAGGUCAUUUACCAUGCUGUCCUCCAGGUUCAACAGUAUGGCUCCAAAGGAUGAAAUUUCAUUCUGAUUUUCUGGCUGAAGACUAUUCUCUUUGUGUAUGUCCACCACAGUUACUUUAUCCCUUCAUCUGUGGAUGGGCAGUCUCGCUGUAUUGCCCAGGCUGGAGUGCAGUGGCAUGAUCUCAGCUCACUGCAAGCUCUGCUUCCUGGGUUCACGCCAUUCUCCUGCCUCAGCCUCCUGAGUAGCUGGGAUUACAGGCACCCGCCACCACGCCCAGGAAAGAAAAAAGAAGAAAACAAACCUCCAUACGAGAAUGGGUCUAAAGGAACUUCCCAAACCUCCAUGAUUUUGCAGGAAACAAGAUAAAGGUGGUUUCCACAAGAAAAAUGGCACAAUGUUUCUCAGAAGACAAUUACAUAAGAAUCAGCAUACUUCAAAUUCACAGCAAAUAAUCAGACAAUUGAUGAAAAUACUUACCCAAACACUAAUUGUAGACUAUGCCUUCUGAAUAUGUUUGUCAUAAACUUGGAGUAAGGAAUCCUCACAGGCACUGGACAAUUCAAAAAACGUAAAGUUGUUUGUUAGAAUACUGGUGCUUUUGGGUAGAAACCCUCAUCCAUAUCCUGGUAAGGCUUGAAGUUGCACAGGAGUUUUCAUUUGUCAAAACCCAGAAAACCAUAAGCUUUAGAUUUGUGAAUUUUAUAUUGUAUUAUAUGUGACCUUUCUUUUUAAAAAAUGAGCUGUAAGCAGUCUCCCAGACAGUAGCUCAGCCUCCAGAACUCUCUUUCUGCAUAGUUGAAGACCCCUCUUCACACAAGAUGGUAGCAACAAAUCAUAGGUGCAAUUGCACCAAAUUCACAGAAGAUCAAUUGAAAAUCCUCAUCAAUACCUUCACUCAAAAACCUUACCCAGGUUAUGCUACCAAACAAAAACUUGCUUUAGCAAUCAAUGCAGAAGAGUCCAGAAUCCAGAUUUGGUUUCAGAAUCAAAGAGCUAGGCAUGGAUUCCAGAAAACACCAGAACCUGACUUUAGAUUUAAGCCACAGCCAUGGACAAGAUUAACCUGGUGUGGAGUUUCAAAAUAGAGAAGCCAGAUGGUGUUGUACCACCUAUAGCACCUUUCAAUUACACACAGUCAUCCAUGCAUUUAUGAAAAACCCAUACCCUGGGAUUGAUUCCAGAGAACAACUUGCUGAAGAAAUUGGUGCUUCAGAGUCAAGAGUCCAAAUUUGGUUCCAAAAUCGAAGAUCUAGAUUUCAUCUCCAGAGAAAAAGAGAACCUGUUAUGUCCUUAGAAUGAGAAGACCAGAGAAGACCAGGGGCAAGGUUUCUGAGGGACUUCAAGGUACAGAAGAUACACAAAGUGGCACCAGCCUCACUAGCACUCUCAUUUCUCAAGAGCCAGAACAUGGUGAAUACAAUCAAGUUCAGUGUAUUUGAUAAUAUCAAUUUGGGCCCCAAAUCUCUCUCACAGUCUUCCUGGGAGUCUAUUCUUCUUCCAAAAGUGCAAGCUAAGCCUUCUGAAGAUGGUAAAGAACUUGGCCGGGUGUGGUGGCUCAUGCCUGUAAUCCCAGCACUUUAGGAGGCUGAGGCUGGAAGAUUGCUUGAGCCUAGGAGUUUGAAACCAGUCUGAGCAACAUAGUAAGACCCUGUCUCUAUUCUAAAAAACAAAAUAAGUAAAAAGGACUGUAGGAGGCCAAGACAGGUACAGGAGGCACCACACUACCCUGUUGACACAGCCUGGAUCCAGAGUUCAGCAGACCUUGAGACAAUGAAAACAAACUUAGUAAUAAUCAUUUUUCAAUCAUUGCAGUAAUUAUUGAUUUGGACAAAAAUCAAUUGACGUCAAAACCUUAAAGUGACGUUUCUCUGCCUAUGGAGUGGUCAUUCUUUUAUUCCUUUAGUUUCAUAAUAAAUUUUCUUUUACUUAAAAAAA